ensembl:lncRNA
GUGGACGCCAUGUUGUCUCAUUCUGUUUAAGACUUUUACUAAAACAGAUCUUGCAGGUGCUCAACAGGAAAUCAUGUGUCUGAUUUUCAGUCGAGCUGAAAGCCAUGAAACUCAUUCUGCGGUGGAUUUUUUGCUUCAGUUUAGGUUUUGUCACUGAUUGCCAAGUGAAUCGUUAUGGAUUGAAAGGAAGCUCAAUCCGUCUGAGCAUCAGUCCCAGAAAUCAGUCACUAACUAAUGUUGGAUGGCAACGAUUCAACAGGAAAGAGGUGCUCACAGACUCAAAUGACGUUUCCCCUCAUUUUGAGAAAAGAAUGAGCCUAAACGUCUCAGACAUGUCUUUGACCAUACACGACCUGGAGGAAAAUGACAGUGGACUGUAUGAAGCCCUUAAGAAGUGGGAGGUUGAACCUCUGGCUGCAUUCACACUUACAGUGGAGAGUAAGAUAUGCAUCUCAUGUACACUGCAUGCUUAUAACAUGAUAUAUACUUCAGCAUCUCAGCUCAGAUGUUGCUGCUAACUCAUCUGUGGUGUUUUUCCAGACACUGUCUCUAAGCCUGUAAUCAGAGUGGAUCAACAUGACUUUAAUUCGUCUGCUGAAGUGUGUCGGGCUGCAGUGAACUGUUCAGCUGAUGGCAGCUGGGCCACGUUUGACUGCCACCAAAAUGUCUGUACAAAGAUACAAUCCUCUCCAUUCUCCAUUAACAUCACUGUCACUGCACUGGACAGCAGCGGCAUCAAAUGCAACGUCAACAACAACUAGGUCAUAAAUAGAACUGAACUCGUGUCAAACAUGCAAAUGAACAGGAAGACUUUUGAGUUUGAGAGUGGAAACUGUUGCAUCUCAUCCUGUUCAAGACACUUACUACAACAUAUCUUGCAGGUGCUCAACAGGAAAUCUGGUGUCUUAUUUUCAGUCGAGCUGAAAGCCAUGAAACUCAUUCUGCGGUGGAUUUUUUGCUUCAGUUUAGGUUUUGUCACUGAUUGCCAAGUGAAUCGUUAUGGAUUGAAAGGAAGCUCAAUCCGUCUGAGCAUCAGUCCCAGAAAUCAGUCACUAACUAAUGUUGGAUGGCAACGAUUCAACAGGAAAGAGGUGCUUACAGACGCAAAAGAAGUUUCCCCUCAUUUUAAGAAAAGAAUGAUCCUAAACGUCUCAGACUGGUCUUUGACCAUACACAACCUUGAGGAAAAUGACAGUGGACUGUAUGAAGCCAUUAAGAAGUGGGAGGUUGAACCUCUGGCUGCAUUCACACUUACAGUGGAGAGCACUGUCUCUAAGCCUGUAAUCAGAGUGGAUCAACAUGACUUUAAUUCGUCUGCUGAAGUGUGUCGGGCCGCAGUGAACUGUUCAGCUGAUGGCAGCUGGGCCACGUUUGACUGCCACCAAAAUGUCUGUACAAAGAUACGAUCCUCUCCAUUCUCCAUUAACAUCACUGUCACUGCACUGGACAGCAGUGGCAUCAAAUGCAACGUCAACAACAACGUGAGCAUGAAUCAUUCUCAGACUCCCUUUACGUGCCAUGAAAAGCAGAAAAGUGAUUAUCGUUUUCUCCCAUCGCUCAUCUUCUGGAUCGUUGGCACCGUUUGUGGUGGUGUUUUGUUGGGUUUGGUUAUGGGUGGGAUUGUAGCAUUUGUCAAGAGAAGAAAAUGUUCAAAAGUUCAUCCACAGUCCAGUCGUGUUGUGAUUGAACAGCAUCAUGAAACAAUUUACUGCACCGUGGAAAAGCCGGCCACAUCCCAGACACAUCCAGGAAACAACACUGUCAGCAACAAAGUAGAAACCAUCUACGACACUCCAUCACGACAUACCAAGGCUUGUCAAGUAGACAGUGUGGAGGUGAUGAGAGACAAUCAGGAGCAACAGCAAUCUGGACAAGACAGAACUAUUCAAGUAAAAGCUACAGUUCACCAGGCAGCAGAACCCGAUUCAGAUCCAAUAAACACUGUUUACUGUAAACUGGGAGAGAUAUGACACAAACACAUACUGAGACGUCACUUCAGUGGAGAUUUAAAUGUAAUUUAAUAUAAAUUCUGUGUUUUUUUUUUUUACUAGUGAAUAGAUGGGUUUAAGCAUCAUUGAUGGAGACAAUACACACUGUAUGCUGCCUACUAUUUUUUGAAACAGUAUAUGCAAUACAUUCUUAAAAAUAAAUGUUCAAAAAUUGUUUUUUGUAGUGAUGCAAUAGAA